rnacentral:rRNA from 1 species
GACGAACCAUCCAAACGUUAUUCGGAAUCACUGGGCUUACAGAGUUCGUAGGCGGUCUGGAAAGUUGGGUGUGAAAUCCCUCGGCCUAACCGAGGAACUGCGCUUGAAACUACCAGACUCGAGGGAGAUAGAGGAAAGCGGAACUGAUGGUGGAGCGGUGAAAUGCGUUGAUAUCAUCAGGAACACCGGUGGCGAAGGCGGCUUUCUGGUCGUUAC